UUUAUGGAGAGUUUGAUCCUGGCUCAGGAUGAACGCUGGCGGCGUGCCUAAUACAUGCAAGUCGAGCGAACGGACGAGAAGCUUGCUUCUCUGAUGUUAGCGGCGGACGGGUGAGUAACACGUGGAUAACCUACCUAUAAGACUGGGAUAACUUCGGGAAACCGGAGCUAAUACCGGAUAAUAUUUUGAACCGCAUGGUUCAAAAGUGAAAGACGGUCUUGCUGUCACUUAUAGAUGGAUCCGCGCUGCAUUAGCUAGUUGGUAAGGUAACGGCUUACCAAGGCAACGAUGCAUAGCCGACCUGAGAGGGUGAUCGGCCACACUGGAACUGAGACACGGUCCAGACUCCUACGGGAGGCAGCAGUAGGGAAUCUUCCGCAAUGGGCGAAAGCCUGACGGAGCAACGCCGCGUGAGUGAUGAAGGUCUUCGGAUCGUAAAACUCUGUUAUUAGGGAAGAACAUAUGUGUAAGUAACUGUGCACAUCUUGACGGUACCUAAUCAGAAAGCCACGGCUAACUACGUGCCAGCAGCCGCGGUAAUACGUAGGUGGCAAGCGUUAUCCGGAAUUAUUGGGCGUAAAGCGCGCGUAGGCGGUUUUUUAAGUCUGAUGUGAAAGCCCACGGCUCAACCGUGGAGGGUCAUUGGAAACUGGAAAACUUGAGUGCAGAAGAGGAAAGUGGAAUUCCAUGUGUAGCGGUGAAAUGCGCAGAGAUAUGGAGGAACACCAGUGGCGAAGGCGACUUUCUGGUCUGUAACUGACGCUGAUGUGCGAAAGCGUGGGGAUCAAACAGGAUUAGAUACCCUGGUAGUCCACGCCGUAAACGAUGAGUGCUAAGUGUUAGGGGGUUUCCGCCCCUUAGUGCUGCAGCUAACGCAUUAAGCACUCCGCCUGGGGAGUACGACCGCAAGGUUGAAACUCAAAGGAAUUGACGGGGACCCGCACAAGCGGUGGAGCAUGUGGUUUAAUUCGAAGCAACGCGAAGAACCUUACCAAAUCUUGACAUCCUUUGACAACUCUAGAGAUAGAGCCUUCCCCUUCGGGGGACAAAGUGACAGGUGGUGCAUGGUUGUCGUCAGCUCGUGUCGUGAGAUGUUGGGUUAAGUCCCGCAACGAGCGCAACCCUUAAGCUUAGUUGCCAUCAUUAAGUUGGGCACUCUAAGUUGACUGCCGGUGACAAACCGGAGGAAGGUGGGGAUGACGUCAAAUCAUCAUGCCCCUUAUGAUUUGGGCUACACACGUGCUACAAUGGACAAUACAAAGGGCAGCGAAACCGCGAGGUCAAGCAAAUCCCAUAAAGUUGUUCUCAGUUCGGAUUGUAGUCUGCAACUCGACUACAUGAAGCUGGAAUCGCUAGUAAUCGUAGAUCAGCAUGCUACGGUGAAUACGUUCCCGGGUCUUGUACACACCGCCCGUCACACCACGAGAGUUUGUAACACCCGAAGCCGGUGGAGUA
rnacentral:rRNA from 1 species